GACUUUGAGGAGGAGGAUGAUUUGGGGGAGGAGAUUGAUGAGGAUGUUGAUGACGAGGAUGCUGUUGUGGAGGUGCAUGAUGUACCAAGUAGUGAUGAGGAGGAAGAUGGCGUUGAAGAGGAGGAAGAUGAUGAAGAGGAGGAUGAAGAUGAUGAAGAGGAGGAGGAGGUUGAGGAUGAAGGUGAAGAGACAGAGCCACAAAUCAGUGCUAGGGUUGCCAUGAUGACAGGGGAGGAUGGAGGAGAAG
rnacentral:lncRNA from 1 species